UGAUGUUUGAUAAAAGAAUUGAAAAGCUUAAAUAAAUAAAUAAAACGCAUAUAUAUAUGCAUGCGUGUGUACGCUACAGGAAUAAAGAAACACUAAUGGUCUUUUACCUUGGUAGUGACUAAUUUUGCAGUCAUAUUCAUGUGUGCACAAUGCAGCAAAAGUAAGCAUCCGCCUUUUUUCUUUCCUACAAGAAGAGAUGGAUAAAUAUAAAUAACUAUUAACCAUAGUCCAGAUAAAAGGACGAUUUAAAAUGUGUUUGUACCAUAAUUGACCAAUCCCGAAACUACUGAGCACCGGUCAACGUAUACCGUCAAGGACCCAGAAGAGUUUCCCUCCAACCAGGAGGCCAAUCACAGCGCGACACGUGUUGACAUCAUAAGCCAAUCAUAGCGCGACACGUGUCAACAUCAGAAGCCAAUCACAACACGACACGUGUCAAUAUCAGAAUGAGAUUAGAAACUCUCUUCUAUAAAUAGAGAUCAUUCUCUCACAAUAUUUCCUAAUGUCAUUUGUACUAAAUCAUUCACUAGUACUCACUAAAGAAGAGCUUGAACCUAUGUACUUGUGUAAACCCUUCACAAUUAAUGAGAACUCUUCUACUCCAUGGACGUAGCCAAUUUGGGUGAACCACGUACAUCUUGUGUUUGCUUCCCUGUCCCUAUCCAUUUACAUACUUAUUCACACUAGUGACCGGAGCAAUCUAGUGAAAGUCACAAACUUAACAUUUUCUGUGGUACCAAAGUCCUCACUGAUUUUGUGGAUCAACAUUUGGCGCCGUUUGUGGGAACGACACUUAUUCCCACUCUCUUCAGCUUUGUCAAGCUGGUUUCCACCAUCCGUACACUCUCUUUUGACCAGACAUCCCUCUCUAACAUAAGGAGCGAAGGAAGCCACAGCACACAGAAUGACACCCCUCUUGCACUUAGUGCGAAGCAACGAAAUAAGGAAGGAAAGAUGGUUGCUCUUCAAGUAAAAGUCGAUGAGCUAGAAGCUCAAAACAACAAGAUAGCAAUGAAGAAUGAGGUCCUCCAGGAGUAGUAUGAGAAGCUCUUUCAGACGCUCCACAAAAUUAGGUGUACUCAAACACGCGAGCUCGUUGCCCCUGCAGACAUCAACCAUCAUCUGGGUGCCCCCAACACAGAGGGUCACCUUCCUUCAACAUGGGUAUCCCUGAUAAAGAGCGUGCUAAUCAUCAAAACAUUGAUCAACAUGAGACUUCUCUCAACCUAGCUGCUUCGACCCAAAGCAGGACAUUGCAGAAGGGUUGGAAUGAUCGAAAGCCAUUUAUCGUGACUGCUGAGACUUCCUAAAGCAACAUCGAGAGAAUCCCCUCCAUAUAUGCUCGAAGAUUAAUGACCCAAGGGUUUCUGAAAGACUCGGUCCCCCUCCCACGACCUAGGCCAGCUGCCAAUCCAGGGAAUGAACGAUAGGUCCCAGAGAAACAUGAAGGUACGGGGGACUCUGAGGUAUUCCGACAAACUCGCCCUAGAAGUUAGUACGGCGAGUCCAAGAAAAAACCACACGCCCAUGCUUAAACUUUCCUACUUCCAAAAGGCGAUUGAGACUUACGAAAGAAAAUUCUAGUGGUACAUAACUCCACUCAUGACCCCAUUGCCCUACAGCUCCUUGAGGAAGUAAAUAAGUUGAAGGCCAAAUGUCAGGUUAAGAUACCUAACUGAAACCAACCCAGGCCUGGCCCUCUCACAAGAAAGAUCCUCGACACCUCCUUCAAGCGAAGAUAAAACAAAAACUUGGUUUACAACUCUAUACUGGAAGGGAUAACUUCUUUGAGUCCACCAUGGCAUAUCAGAUGCACAUCGACCAAGAGCGAUGUCUUCUCUUCCCCUCCAUCCUCUCUGGCGGAGCUCUAAACUGGUAUUGCCGUCUUCCACCUGAGACAGUAGACUCAUUUGAGGAAUUGAGGAAAUUGUUUGUCUCUCAACACAUCUUCCAGACCGAUCACUUGCAUUAUGCAGAUGACUUGUACAUUAUUCACCAGAAGCCGGACGAGUCACUACAAGAGUAUGUCGGUCGCUUCAGCCAUGAGUAUUCUCGUUGUGCUAAGGCAGAUGAUAAAAUCGCCCUCAAGGCCUUCACGGCAGGCCUACGUGAUUGUUUCUUCAAGUACAUAAUUAAUGCUACACUUGGAAGACUUACUCUGAGGUAAUGGCACAUGCUUACAACCACGCCUCCGCCGAAGCAAGGACAUACCAAGGGAACCCCCAUAUGGUUAACCCCUAUCAACAAAUGGGAAAUGGAAGUCAAGUUCUACCAAGUGAGGAGAUAUUGGCCAUUCAGACACCCAUUGCAUCAUCUCCUGCCUCAUUUAGUUACUCGCUAAGUCACCAAACAUAUUUGUCUCUUGGUAAGAAGAAGGAUUUUUACUCUCAGCAAGCCCAUUACAACAAGAGAGAUAAAAAUUCGUAUCAAGACAACCAGGGGUAAACGUACCGUUGACUAUUAUGACUAUGGGGCCAAGCUUCACUCUUUCAAAGUGGAUGACUAGGUACUGAAGGAAAUGCUAUUAUAAGAAGGCAUACACAUUACAAAUGUUUUGACCCUCAACCGCUUGAAAUCUUUUGUCACACAAGCCAUUCGGCAAAUAUUUAAAGAAGAGGGAAUUCAGACAACUUCUUCUGAGUCUUUUGCGUUCUUAGCACUGGAACAUUUAGUCUACACUGACCUACCCUUAUACUCCAACUUAGAGCUUCAACAUGCGUACUUUGACACAAAGUAUGUGAUACUAAGUGUUACAACCAACAUGGUUCACAUAUCAAAAGCAUGGAUCCCUUCAUACAUAUCAAAACAUUCAUAAGCAUCACUCAUAUCAAUCAACAUAAACAUUAUACAUUCCAAAACAUUCAUACAUAGACAUCAUACAUUCCAACACAUUCAUACAUAAACAUCAUACAUUCCAACACAUCCAUACAUAAGCCAACUGUGCUUCGAAAGGGUUAAACAUACUUUGUGUCUUCGACACUUGCUACAAUGUACCUCGACACCUUGCCCUUAUUCUCACCAACCAGGUGAUGAAAUGUACAACCCGUACUCACAUUCAUGCCACAAACCAGGUGAUGAAAUGUAUAACCCGUACUCUAAUAUCAUUUGGCAACUUGCCACUCAUGCCACCAACCAGGUGAAGAAGGAACUCAUAUUCAUGCCACCAACCAGGUGAUGAAAUGUACAACCCGUACUCACGUUCAUGCCACAAACCAAGUGAUGAAAUGUACAACCAGUACUCUAAUAUCAUUUGGCAACUUGCCACUCAUGCCACCAACCAGGUGAAGAAGGAACUCAUCUUCAUGCCACCAACCAGGUGAUGAAAUGUACAACCCGUACUCUCAUUCAUGUCACCAACCAGAAAAAGGAAAUUCAACAAAUUUCUAGUUUUCCAAAAAAAGAAAAAAAAAAAGGGAAAUUCAACAAAGCUUCAUCAAUGGAGGACAACUACAAAUUCUCAAAAGCUUCACACUAUCUUGAUCAAGAUAGUGUGAAGCAAAAUCAAUUCAUGGUACCCAACAAAAGCUUCAACUCCAAAGCUUCACCAACAAAAGCUUCAUCAAUGGAGGACAACUACAAAUUCUCAAAAGUUUCACACUAUCUUGAUCAAGAUAGUGUGAAGCAAAAUCAAUUCAUGGUACCCAACAAAAGCUUCAACUCCAAAGCUUCACCUACAAAGCUUCAACUCCAAAGCUUCACCUAUAAAAGCUUCACCCACAAUAGCUUCACCUACAAAAGCUUCACCUACAAAAGCUUCACCCAUAAAAGCUUCACCAACAAAAGUUUCACCCACAAAAGCUUCAUCCACCACAAAAGCUUCACCUACAAAAGCUUCACCCACAAAAGCUUUACCCAAAAAAUUACAAAACAAUCUAACUAAAAGUACAAUAACCUUGAGUAACAGAGGCAGUUUAGCACCCAAAUAAAAUUGGUAGAUUAACGAAUAUGAGUUCAAACGCGGAGGAAAGCAACAAAACCAAUCAAACAACGAAUUACCAAUAGAAUAAAAUGACAAAUAUGAAUAUCUUACAAAAAUGCAAGCAACAAAUUACCAAUACUCAAACAAAACCUCACUUCAGUGAAAUUCAAAUUUGGAGAAGGUUAGAGAAAAAGGACUUGAUGGGUUGGAUACAUGUAAUUGAUGCAGACGGGGCAUUCACUACAGGAAACAGACAUGGUUAGUUGGAAGAGGCAAUCUGCAAACACUAAUUACCAGUAAAUAUUCACAGAUAGAAAGCCUUUAGAUCUGUAUGUGUUCUUCGAAACAUCGUCAAAUUUUUAUCUAACGUGCCGCAUGGUCUGGGUCUGCAUCUCCAUAGCGAGUCUUUCCACAAAGUCCUUGGUGUAGUCCAAAAACAACACAAUCAAAAUCAACGAAGAAUGAAACCCAAAAGUAGAAUUAGGUAAAAUAAAACGCUAGAUAAACCCUGAAAAAUCUAAAAACCAUUCCAGAGUCAGAGUGAUGAGUAUUUAUGUUCAACGGUAGAAAGGGAAUUUCACCACUUGCCUGAUUCUGAUUACUUGAUGAGGUUGCAAAGUGGGGACUUGGACCUUGCUGCUAGAUAACAGGCAGGCUGUUCAAUGAAAACUCAUGAAUAAGCUUGUCUUUGUCAACCUUUUCGUCCAUUCCCUGCAAUAGAUUUGUAUAUAUUUCAAAAUCAAAACUCAAGAUAGAGGGGAAAAGUAGACCAAAAAAUGGAUUAACAAAAACAAUUAAUUCCCAAUAAUAUGAAAUCAAACGCCAAGAACACAAAAGAGAAGAGGUAAACAAAAUAAAAAACUGAAUAUCUGGUAGACUGAGAUGAGUCAAUAUUUGUGUCAUGGAGAAAGAUAUAACCCAAACGUAACUGCUCAUAGCAGUUUCAAAAAAUGACACCACGUUCAUCCUCUCCCUUGUGAACGGUUUUGCCAUUUUAGUUUGGAUUAUCUCAUUUUUCUAUUUGUUUUAAUUUGUUUUUGUUGCCAUUAUCUUUUAUCUAUCUCUCCUCUCCAUAACUGCUAACCUUUUAGAGGAUAAUUAUCAUGAUUUAAAAAAAAAAUUAAUUAUCAUGUUUUGUUUCAAUACGGUUACUGUUAAGUUCUUUUUUACGUUUUUGUCCCAUUUUUCUUUACUUUUUUUCUUUUUCUUUUUUUUAUAUUUUGUUUUUCAAUACUUUUUGAGUGCUACUAGACCCACCCCAGUGUCUUACACCCACAUGAUAAUCUCACCCACCAUAUAAAAUUAAAAAAGUAAAAUGCUAUUUCCCCACCCAUCAUUAUUCCCAAAAUAACCAUAAUAUUUUUUUAAAUAACUCUAAUAUAUCUUUAAAUAAUAUUAUAAAUAAAUAAAUAAAAAUAGAAAAAAAAAUGAAAGAAAAUGCAAGACCUAAGACCUAGACAUUCAUCAUCUCCUUCACACCUAAUGCCACUCUGCAGAGACCUCAGAUCCCCAAACCACUCUUCUUCCUCCUUUUUUGUCAAAACCGAAGAUCUCACAACCAAUUCUCUUUUUCCUCCAUUGAAGUUUCUCGCCUUCAUCUAGCACACGUCCAUUCCUUCCUCCAACCUUUCCGUCAAUUCUAACCCAAAUCUUUCCUAACCUCUUUCCACCAAAGUAUCACACCCAAACCACCAUUAUUUAUUUAUUAUUUUAAAUUAUUUGUUUUUUCAAAAUUUUAGUACUGAAUUAAAUAGGGGUUUAAGAGUCUUCUUUUAAAAUGAUAAAUAUGUUAUUAACAUUUUCAUUAAAUGGUGGGUGGGGAAAUAAGACAUCGGGGUGGGAAUAUCACCACUCUACUUUUUUUUGUUAAGAUAUGAUUUUUUACCAAUUUGUCCUUUUUUUUUUUUGAAUUUUUUGAGUUUUGAUUGUGAAGGAAACAAAUGGGCAUUUUUGACAUUUUGGAAAGCUUCACCAAACUAGGGCUCUCACUUUAUAUAUAUAGAUUAUUAUUGAAAAAUCGACAUUUAACCCAUUGAAAGUUAAAUUCUAUCUCAAUUUGUCUUCUUUUCGUCUUCUUCAUCUGCCAUCCCAGUAAGUUAGAUCAUGCGACUUCCAAGAAUUAAAUGACAAAUUUUUUGUUUCGAAUGACAACUUGAGACUCAAGUGUUGUUUUCGAGGUAAAUGAAUAAUCAAAGGCAAGUCAUAAACCAUACCCCAAGAAAGAAGAAAAAACAAACAAAUACCAUUGAUUUAAAAGAAAACUAAUGAGCCAUUGAUUUAAAAGAAAACUAAUGAAAAUAGUUUCAAACUUCGAAUAUUUAACCGAAAGAAUCCUAGUAACUUUAUUUAAUGGUGUAGACAAAAUUCAACAUUAAACAGCCAUGGAGUUUUAAUAAAAGAGUAAUGAUAUUCAUACCAUCUUUUUAUACCAGAUUUCUAUACGACCUUAGGUGGCAUCAUAUGGACAACCACAUUAUUUGAAAAUUUUGCAAAACCCAAGGAAAGGAAGGAGAAAGACUUCUCGUAUACCACAAUCAUCAUUUAAUUAACUAGUUUUUCUUAAUUAUUAGUUUAUUAAAUAAUGAACUAAAUUUAAAAAUCUAAUUAAUUCAAAUGAUGUGGCUGUCCACAUCAAAUGUCACCUAAGGUGGUAUGAAAAUGUGGUACGAAAAUAUGAUAUGAAUAGCAUUAUUGUUAAUAAAAAGGACUUCUCUAAACUUUUUCUUAAACAAAAACAACCUAGUGACUUUAUUUAAUAAAAAAGAUUUGAAUUUUACUAAAAAAAAAAACCAAAAGCUUAAUAUAAUAAUUAAAAAACCUAAAAAUAUUUUUUCUCCUUAUAAUCUCUCUUCUCUCCUCUGCCACUUCCUCUCUUUCCUUUAUGCAAAGGGAACUCAUGUUUUUCAAAAAAUAAAGAGGAUUAAGUGUGGAGCCCACUCCACAUCAAACUUCAACAAUCCAAACAAUCUACUUUGUAAUUCUUGAUUCAUAGAUCAUGUUUACAAAAAUUUAAUUCAAUCCGAAAUCAUUUGCCUAUUUAAUUAUAAAGAUAAAAUAUCAUUAUUUCUUAUAUAACAAAGUAUUCGUUAAUUUUUUUAAACCCAAUUAGAUGUCUUAAAUAUUUUUGAUUUGGCUAAUAUUUUGCAAAGAUGAUCUAUGAGGUGUAACUUGAAGAAUAGAUGCUUGGAUCGUUAAAGUUCAAUGUGGUGUGCACCCUACAACUAAUUCCCAUUUAAAAAAAAAGGGUAUCCCUUCCCUUAGAGGCUUCCUCUC
rnacentral:lncRNA from 1 species